rnacentral:rRNA from 1 species
UACAGAGGGUGCGAGCGUUAAUCGGAAUUACUGGGCGUAAAGGGUGCGUAGGUGGUGACAUAAGUUAGAUGUGAAAUUCCCGGGCUUAACCUGGGGACUGCGCCUAAUACUGUGUGACUAGAGUCUUGUAGAGGAAGGUGGAAUUUCCGGUGUAGCGGUGAAAUGCGUAGAUAUCGGAAGGAACAUCAGUGGCGAAGGCGACCUUCUGGACAAAGACUGACACUGAGGCACGAAAGCAUGGGGAGCAAACAGG